rnacentral:rRNA from 1 species
UACGAAGGGGGCUAGCGUUGCUCGGAAUCACUGGGCGUAAAGGGCGCGUAGGCGGCCAUUCAAGUCGGGGGUGAAAGCCUGUGGCUCAACCACAGAAUUGCCUUCGAUACUGUUUGGCUUGAGUAUGGCAGGGGUCAGUGGAACUGCGAGUGUAGAGGUGAAAUUCGUAGAUAUUCGCAAGAACACCAGUGGCGAAGGCGGCUGACUGGGCCAUUACUGACGCUGAGGCACGAAAGCGUGGGGAGCAAACAGG